rnacentral:rRNA from 1 species
GGUCAAGUUAUUAAGGGUGCAGGGCGGAUGCCUUGGCACUAGGAGCCGAUGAAGGACGUGAUAAGCUGCGAUAAGCUUCGGGGAGUUGCACGUAAACUUUGAUCCGAAGAUUUCCGAAUGAGGAAACUCACUUAGAGUAAUGUCUAAGUAUCAUUAAGUGAAUACAUAGCUUAAUGAGGGGAACUCAGGGAACUGAAACAUCUAAGUACCUGAAGGAAGAGAAAGAAAUUCGAUUCCGUAAGUAGCGGCGAGCGAACGCGGAUUAGCCCAAACCAAUAAAGUUUUCUUUAUUGGGGUUGCGGACAUAUCAUAACGAAGAGGUAUCGUAAUUGAAGAGGUUUGGAAAGACCCACCACAGAAGGUAAUAGUCCUGUAUGUUAAACGAGAAGACUUUAGAUAUGAUCCAGAGUACCACGGGACACGUGAAACCCUGUGGGAAGCAGGAGGGACCACC